AUGCCUGUGUCAGGAAGGCAAACCAAGGAAGGAACCCAAGGGAGGAAGACUUCAUGGAGGAAGUGGCUUUUGAGCAGAUAUCCAGACCAUCUCCUAAAGGACACAGGAGAAAUCAGCAGGAAGGGUUGUAGGAAGAGAUGUGGGUGGAAGAACUGGAGAAGGCGAAUGACCUGUUGUGCCCUUGGGAUUUUGUUAUCCAUUGGAAAAUUAAAGAAAACGUCAGAAAGAGAUCUCUAAGUCUGAAAGGCAAGGUUCCUUCUGACAUUCGGCAUAGGCAUGCAUCCCACCAGCCAUCAGGACAUGGAGGCGUCUUGCCAUGAAUGAACUCUGCAAGCUGCCACAAAGCAUUUGGCCCUUUCUUCACCCAUAUAAUGAAGAGGUUGGAUUCAAGCAUCUCUAAGCCACUUGGUAGCCCCCAGUGGAUUCUGAUAUUGCUAAAACAUUAGGAUCUGGAGGCUCAGGAUCUCCAAAAGGGAUUGUAAAAGGCAAGCAGAAGAGGAGUGGGGGACAAUCUCAUGGCACGACCUCCCCUUGGCUGGGGGAUCUGGGGCAUUUCCCAUCAUCCCUUGUACAUUCAUCUGGUGGUUUUUGCUCAUUGGUUCAUUUGCUGAGCCCCUGCAAUGUUCUUAGCUAAGUUCUCAGCUAAGGAAGCAACAGUGGACACACCAUGGACCCUGCCCUCGGGAGCUCACCAUCACCCUGUCUCCUCUCUGCCAGAGCUCAAAAUCAGGUCUUAGAAUGGAAUUGCCAAUGCUUCGAUCCAACCCAAAUGAGAGGAAUUUCCACGUUAAGACUAGAAAGUGUUCUUCACUUCCAAUCAAACACUCAGAGAAGGGUGUGCAUGCCCUUGGCCAUCCACCCCAUCAUCCUCAGCCUCUGACCCGUAGCCUUGACUUUCAGACCAUCAUGUCUACCUGAAAACUCUACACGGGCAACACAAGAUGUGAACUCGAAGCACUCUAAGUCAUGCAAUAGCAACUUCAAUUUGGCUAGCAAACUUUGAAAUACUUUUUCUCUGUUUUUGUGGUUCAGCUAAAAUGUAAAUAAAGCAAUCAUUUAAAAGCUAUACA
rnacentral:lncRNA from 1 species